UACAGAGGGUGCGAGCGUUAAUCGGAAUUACUGGGCGUAAAGCGUGCGCAGGCGGUUCGUUGUGUCGGUGGUGAAAGCCCCGGGCUUAACCUGGGAAUGGCCAUGGAAACUGGCGAACUGGAGUGUGGCAGAGGGGGGUGGAAUUCCGCGUGUAGCAGUGAAAUGCGUAGAGAUGCGGAGGAACACCGAUGGCGAAGGCAGCCCCCUGGGCUAGCACUGACGCUCAGGCACGAAAGCGUGGGGAGCAAACAGG
rnacentral:rRNA from 1 species